CCUGUCGGUGGCCCGGCGCGCGGGCGUGCGCCUCACCGGCGCGGAGGCCGACAGGUUCGUCGCCGAGUGGCGGGCC
rnacentral:tRNA from 1 species